rnacentral:rRNA from 1 species
UGGGGAAUAUUGCACAAUGGGCGCAAGCCUGAUGCAGCCAUGCCGCGUGUAUGAAGAAGGCCUUCGGGUUGUAAAGUACUUUCAGCGGGGAGGAAGGGAGUAAAGUUAAUACCUUUGCUCAUUGACGUUACCCGCAGAAGAAGCACCGGCUAACUCCGUGCCAGCAGCCGCGGUAAUACGGAGGGUGCAAGCGUUAAUCGGAAUUACUGGGCGUAAAGCGCACGCAGGCGGUUUGUUAAGUCAGAUGUGAAAUCCCCGGGCUCAACCUGGGAACUGCCUCUGAUACUGGCAAGCUUGAGUCUCGUAGAGGGGGGUAGAAUUCCAGGUGUAGCGGUGAAAUGCGUAAAGAUCUAGAGGAAUACCGGUGGCGAAGGCGGCCCCCUGGACGAAGACUGACGCUCAGGUGCGAAAGCGUAGGGAGCAAACAGG